CGUCUCACGCCUGAAAGGGCGACGGCGAAAGCCGGUGCGAGAAGUCAGCAGAGGCCGUAGUAGCUGGGCAACCAGUCAAGGGC
rfam:Polaromonas sp. JS666 plasmid 2, complete sequence.